UAGAUACCAUAGUGAGAAAGGAUUCAUUUCGCAACACCUACGGCUUCCACUAGAUGUCAACGAUCUUUAUAAAGUUGUUUGAAGCGUCUAUGAUAAACAGAGAGCAAAUUAGAAUCCAAGGAAGUUGACAUGUCAUCACUUCAUUUUUUUGCGCCUGCUCAUAAAUCUGAGAAACGUGAGUUUUGUCUUCAUUGUUUAUCUAGACAUAGGAUAGGUUGUGUGAAAAUAUUACUGAUGUUUAACGUUAAAAAUGGACCAAAAGAUUAAUGCUAAACAACAUUUGACAUGUUUGAGACGAACAUAAAUAGAUUAUUUACUAGGUUUUUUUAGCUUUUCGGCGUGAUUUUACAGUCCCCCCACCACGUUUUGUGGGAGCAUAAUGAACGCUAAGUACUUGGUGUUAUUUGGACAUAAAUUAUGAACUUUGUCAAAAGAAACCACAUUUGUUCCGGACCUGGGAUGCCUUCCGGACAUGGGAUGCCUGCCUUCUGAUGGAGAUAAUCAAAGAAUUGACAGAAAACCCCAUGGUGGUGGCUGUGGCCGUGUGCUGACCGACCAGCAGGAGUGGGCAGUGGUGUAAAUGGUGAUGGCCAGGAAUGACAUAUGGAUGUCCGAAAUUAAGCAGGCCAUUGAGGAGAGCGAUGACACCUUUGCCAACGUGGCAACCAUCAGCCUACCAGCAAUCGGCUGCCUUUUGAAGAGGCUCGAGGUAUCAAUGAAAUACAUUUACCUGGUGCCUUUUGAGAGAAACAAUGACUGGGUGAAACAAUUGCGGGCCGAGUAUGUUCAGGUACAGCACUAUAUAUUAUGUUACUGUUACUCUUCGAUGUACAUGCUGCUUCACAAAAUCCUAUUGGAAUUAUACUGUAAAAAUAACGAACCAAAUACAUAUUUUUAGAGGGUGAUGGUGCUUGAUGCUGCUGUGAACUUUGUUGAUGAAGCUGGUUUCAAUUUGGCCAAAACUCGGCGCCGUGGACCAAACCUCAUCGGCCAAGUGCUUGGACAAACAUCUCCAUGUGCACAGCUAUCUCUGAAGAUGGUGUGGUAGUAUGUAGGCCAUUACCUGGAUCCUACAACGCUAUACAACUCGUGUUUUUGAAUGAAAUUGAGCAGGCUUGUCAAGGUUAAGGGGUCACCAAUGCCAUUGUAUGGGACAAUGUCAGUUUCCACCAUGCAGAGGUUUCGGGACCAUUCCGGAUUCGUGACCCUAUACCUGCCCCCAUACUCUCCUUUUGUCAACCCAAUUGAGGAUUGUUUUUUAGGAUUGUUUUUUUUUUUUAGCAAGGUUUUUCCUGCGGUGCAUGAACAAUGAGGACAUUCACUGUGAUAUGGAUGAGAAUGUAUGGCCAAAUGCUCAAGACAUGCUUGAUGCUAAUUAUUGAAUUCUAAACAUUGUUUUAUUUUCAUUCAUUUAAUAUGUUUUAUUUAAUUUCUUAUAUUUGAUUACAGACAGAACACCUACACUACAUGAACAAAAGUAUGUGGACACCUGCUCAUUGAACAUUUCAUUCCAAAAUCCUGGGCAUUAAUAUGGAGUUGGUCCCCCUUUGCUGCUAUAACAGCCUUCAUUUUUCUGGGAAGGCUUUCUACUAGAUGUUGGAACAUUGCUGUGGGGACUUGCUUCCAUUCAGCCACAAGAGCAUUAGUGAAGUCGAGCACUAUUAUUGGGUAAUUAGGCCUGGCUCGCAGUCGGCGUUCCAAUUCAUCUCAAAGGUGUUCGAUGGGGUUGAGUUCAGGGCUCUGAGCAGGACAUUCAAGUUCUUCCACACUGAUCUCGACAAACAAUUUCUGCAUGGACCUUGCUUUGUGCUCAGGGGCAUUGUCAUGCUGAAACAUGAAAGGGCUUUCCCCAAACUGUUGCCACAAAUUUGGAAGCACAGAAUUGUCUAGAAUGUCAUUGUAUGCUUUAGGGUUAAGAUUUCCCUUCACUGGAACUAAGGGGUCUAGCCCGAACCAUGAAAAACAGCCCUAGACCAUUAUUCCUCCUCCACCAAACUUUACAGUUGGCACUAUGCAUUGGAGCAGCUAGCUUUCUCCUAGCAUCCACCAAACUCAGAUUAGUCUGUCGGACUGCAAGAUGGUGAACCGUGAUUCAUCACUCCAGAGAACGCGUUUCCACUGCUCCAGAGUCCAAUGGCAGCGAGAUUUACACCAGCCGAUUAUAUCUAAAUGUAACGUUUUUUUUGCAUGAAUGAUUGUAGAUGUCUUCAUUGAUCACAACCUUUGAUUACACAUUGGAUAGAUAUUAUGGAAAUUAUAGAGUUUCUGUCAAUUUUGUUGGGUAAUGUAAGUGUUUUGCCUAAUGUGAAACUGUGCACUGUAAUUUACAGUACUGUAGCAUAUUACUUUCACCACUUUUAAGGACGAUUUGAAACACAUAUCUUUCAUUGUUUGCUAUUGGAUUAACUGGGAGUUAAAACGACUACAUUGAAAAAGAUGUCAUUAUGUUGUGUUUCGGUGAUUAAACCACUGUUGUCAUUACAUUUCACAAUAACCAUGUAUUUUGAAUCAAUGGUUGUGUGGUGAGAGAUGUUUACACAAUGAAUGCCCAAUGACCAGUGACCAAUUUUGAGUAUUGUACUAAGAGUUGUGAAAAUGUACCACACACUGUACUUGUGAAAAUAAUACCAAAGCAAUUAAACUGUAAGAUGAACUGUGACCUAUUUUCAGUAAACUUUCAGUUUGUUAAAGGUAAGUAAAGUGCAGCUUGUUCUAAUGCACAAAACCUUUAAUGUAUGCAUCAAAUCAAAUCAAAUAUUAUUUUUCACAUGUGCCGAAUACCGUGAAAUGCUUACUUACAAGCCCUUAACAAACAAUGAAGUUCAAGAAAUAGAGUUAAUAAAAUAUUUACAAAAUAAACAACAACAAAAAAGUAACACAAUAAAAUGUACAUAACAAUAACAAGGCAAUAUACAGGGGACACCAGUGCCGAGUCAAUGUGCGGGGGUAUAUUUUAGUCAAGGUAUUUUAAAUAGUAGGGUUAACUUCUAUGGGCUAGGCCAUUGAAAUAUCAGGGCGGAAAAUUCAAAAACAACGAAAUGUCAUAAUUCAACUUUCUCAAACAUACAACUAUUUUACACCAUUUUAAAGAUAAACUUCUCGUUAAUCUAACCACAUUGUCCGAUUUCAAAAAGGCUUUACAGCGAAAGCAAAACAUUAGAUUAUGUUAGAAGAGUACAUAGACAAAAAUAAUCACACAGCCAUUUUCCAAGCAAGGACAUGUGUCAAUAAAACCCAAAACAGAGCUGAAUGAAGCACUAACCUUUGACGAUCUUCAUCAGAUGACACUCCUAGGACAUUAUGUUACACAAUACAUGUAUGUUUUGUUUGAUAAAGUUCAUAUUUAUAUCCAAAAACAGCAUUUUACAUUGGCG
rnacentral:lncRNA from 1 species